rnacentral:rRNA from 1 species
UACGGAGGAUCCGAGCGUUAUCCGGAUUUAUUGGGUUUAAAGGGUGCGCAGGCGGGAUGUCAAGUCGGCGGUGAAAUUUUGCAGCUCAACUGUAAAAGUGCCUUCGAAACUGGUUUCCUUGAGUGUGGAUGAAGUAGGCGGAAUUUGUGGUGUAGCGGUGAAAUGCAUAGAUAUCACGAGGAACUCCGAUUGCGCAGGCAGCUUACUAAACCAUAACUGACGCUCAGGCACGAAGGCGUGGGGAUCAAACAGGAUUAGAUACCCCCGUAGU